rnacentral:tRNA from 1 species
GGGGUUGUGGCUCAGUGGUAGAACGCUUGCCCCAGUACGUAUGAGGCACUGAGUUCGACCCUCAGCACCACA